UACGUAGGGGCCUAGCGUUGUCCGGAUUUAUUGGGCGUAAAGAGCUCGUAGGUGGUUCGGUAAGUCGGAUGUGAAAUCUCUAGGCUCAACCUGGAGGGGGUCAUUCGAUACUGCCGUGACUAGAGGUCGGUAGGGGAGUGUGGAAUUCCUGGUGGAGCGGUGAAAUGCGCAGAUAUCAGGAGGAACACCCGUAGCGAAGGCGGCACUCUGGGCCGAUACUGACACUGAGGAGCGAAAGCGUGGGGAGCGAACAGG
rnacentral:rRNA from 1 species